UACGUAGGGGGCAAGCGUUGUCCGGAUUUAUUGGGCGUAAAGAGCUCGUAGGUGGUUCGGUAAGUCGGAUGUGAAAUCUCCAGGCUCAACCUGGAGGGGUCAUUCGAUACUGCCGUGACUAGAGGUCGGUAGGGGAGUGUGGAAUUCCUGGUGGAGCGGUGAAAUGCGUUGAUAUCAGAAGGAACGCCGGCGGCGAAAGCGGCGCACUGGACCUUUUCUGACGCUGAGGCGCGAAAGCCAGGGGAGCAAACGGG
rnacentral:rRNA from 1 species